UACGUAGGGGCCUAGCGUUGUCCGGAAUUAUUGGGCGUAAAGAGCUCGUAGGCGGUUCGGCAAGUCGGAUGUGAAAUCUCCACGCUCAACGUGGAGGGGCCAUUCGAAACUGCCGUGACUCGAGUCCGGUAGGGGAGUGUGGAAUUCCCGGUGUAGCGGUGAAAUGCGCAGAUAUCAGGAAGAACACCCGUGGCGAAGGCGGCUCUCUGGAACGCAACUGACGCUGAGACGCGAAAGCGUGGGGAGCAAACAGG
rnacentral:rRNA from 1 species